CGUAGGCGGCAAGCGUUGUCCGGAAUUAUUGGGCGUAAAGCGCGCGCAGGCGGUUCCUUAAGUCUGAUGUGAAAGCCCCCGGCUCAACCGGGGAAGGUCAUUGGAAACUGGGGAACUUGAGUGCAGAAGAGAAGAGCGGAAUUCCACGUGUAGCGGUGAAAUGCGUAGAGAUGUGGAGGAACACCAGUGGCGAAGGCGGCUCUUUGGUCUGUAACUGACGCUGAGGCGCGAAAGCGUGGGGAGCAAACAGGAUUAGAUACCCUGGUAGUCCACGCCGUAAACGAUGAGUGCUAAGUGUUAGAGGGUUUCCGCCCUUUAGUGCUGCAGCUAACGCAUUAAGCACUCCGCCGUGGGGAGUACGGCCGCAAGGCUG
rnacentral:rRNA from 1 species